rnacentral:tRNA from 2 species
UGGGGUGUCGCCAAGCGGUAAGGCAUCGGAUUUUGAUUCCGACAUUCAGAGGUUCGAAUCCUCUCACCCCAG